GCGAUUGUAGUCUAGAGGUAUGAUUUCUGCCUGCCACGCAGACGGCCCGGGUUCGAAUCCCGGCAGUCGCACCA
rnacentral:tRNA from 1 species